rnacentral:rRNA from 1 species
AUCCCGGUGAGUUGGUCGUGCUUCUGGUACGUACUGGCUUUAUUGGUUUCUCCCUUCUGACGAACCAUGAUGUCAUUAAUUUGGUGUUAUGGGGAAUCAGGACUGUUACUUUGAAAAAAUUAGAGUGUUUAAAGCAGGCUAAAGCUUGAAUAGAUUAGCAUGGAAUAAUGAAAUAGGACGUUUGAUCUUAUUUUGUUGGUUUCUAGGAUCGACGUA